GAUGAACGCUGGCGGCGUGCUUAACACAUGCAAGUCGAGCGAAAAGGCCCGGCGCUUGUUGCGUGCUCGAGUGGCGCAGACGUGAGUGAAACGUGAGUAAACUGCACUUAAAUUUGGGGUAACAUCUGGAAAAAGCGGCGCAUAUACGGGAGAAUCUCCUGCUGCAUGUUGGGCGUUAGUAAGAUUCGGCGGUUGGGGAUCGAAUGGAGGGUUAUCCGCUUGUUGGUGGAGUAGGGGCUGACAAAGGGUUUGACGGGUAGCCGGCCUGAGAGGGUGACCGGCCACAUGGGGACUGAGAUACGGCCCAGACUCCUACGGGAGGCAGCAGUGGGGAAUAUGGCACAAUGGGCGGAAGCCUGAUGCAGCAACGCCGCGUGCGGGAUGACGGCCUUCGGGUUGUAAACCGCUUUCGCCUGUGGCGAAGCGGGAGUGACGGUAAUGGGUAAAGAAGCACCGGCUAACUACGUG
rnacentral:rRNA from 1 species